rnacentral:lncRNA from 1 species
AUUCGGAUUUUUGGUUCGCGGUCUGUUAACAGAGUCAUAUUUUUCCUCGGUUUGGGAUUCAACAGGUGACUUGGGACACCGUUAAUUUUUCAAGUGGCGACUCUGAAAUAAUUAAUAACCAAAUUCCGUUCCGGUUGUCCUUUAAUUGAAAAAACUCUUUUACGCCCUUUUGCGCGAGUGUAUAGUGAAAAAGGAGGUGUGACAAUCAUUAUUUAUUUACUUUCCUUGCCCCUUAUUUGUGAUUGUUGUUUGGGUGAGGAAGAAUGAUAAAUCACGAAGGGUGAUACCGUUUAUUGUUUGAUAUUGUGAGGAAAGAGUGAUAAAGAACGAACGGUGAUGUAGUGUAUUGUUUGAUAAUGUGAGGAAAGAGAGUGUAUAGUACGAAAGGUGAUGUCGUACCGUACGAUGUACCAUUCCAUACUGAUAUUCAUUGAUUAUACUGUGAGGAAAGAGAGUAAAAGCAUGAAGGGUGAUGACGUGCACAUGAUUAUUGAUAUGAUUGCUUUUGUGAGGAAGAGAGUAAAGCACGAACGGUGAUGUCGUUGAAGUUGUGAUUUCUGAUUCUUAUUGAUAUUCUGGCAUUGUUGUUUCUUUCUUUAUUUGAGAUUACUAUUCGAAACUGUUAUUUCCCCUAACAUGUACCUGCUUCCUUUAUUGUCUGGUUACUUCAUGUACUUCUUUUCGUUGUGUGUGUGUAUAUAU